rnacentral:SRP_RNA from 1 species
GCCAUGCGCGGUGGCGCCUGCCUGUAGUCCCAGAUACUCAGGAGGCUGAGGUGGGAGGAUCCCUUGAGCCCACGAGUUGUGGGCUGUAGUGCGCUAUGCCGAUUGGGUGUCUGCACUAAGUUCGGCAUCGAUAUGGUGACCUCCAGGAGCAGGGGACCACCGGGUUGCUGAAGGAGGGUUGAAACAGCCCAGGUCGGAAAUGGAGCAGGUCAAAACUCCCGCGCUGAUCAGUGGUGGGAUUGUGCCUGUGAAUAGCCACUGCACUCAGCCUGGACAACAUAGCGAGACCCCAUCUCA